rnacentral:rRNA from 1 species
UACGAAGGGGGGCUAGCGUUGCUCGGAAUCACUGGGCGUAAAGGGUGCGUAGGCGGGUCUUUAAGUCAGGGGUGAAAUCCUGGAGCUCAACUCCAGAACUCCCUUUGAUACUGAAGAUCUUGAGUUCGGGAGAGGUGAGUGGAACUGCGAGUGUAGAGGUGAAAUUCGUAGAUAUUCGCAAGAACACCAGUGGCGAAGGCGGCUCACUGGCCCGAUACUGACGCUGAGGCACGAAAGCGUGGGGAGCAAACAGGG